GCAAGAAAUAUCUUGUGUGUUUGAGAUAGUCCGCUAGAUUCAAACUUAGAUAUUAAAGUGCAAUUUGUAAAAAAGCAAUUUGAAACUACAGUCGCUUGUUUAAGUUACC